rnacentral:lncRNA from 1 species
GUCUCCAAAGAAAAAAAAAACGAAACGUUCCAGCUCCCAGAGUUGAAUGGCAACAGCUCCUUCUAGAAAAAAAAAAAGAAAUUACCGAGAGAGUGAGUCUCCAAAAAAAUGAAUGACGACUGCAGCUUGGUAUCUCCCUAGGAUCAUGUGUCCUAAAAUUGGGGUGGGGUCCACCCUAAAAUAAAAAUAACCCUAGGGUGCCAAGUGUCCUACAAUUUUGGGCCCUC